rnacentral:sRNA from 2 species
GUUUUGCGUGAGGGAUAGCAGCGGCAUCCUUUUGUGAAGUGCUAACGGAACAAAAGAUAAAGCGCAUAGCCCGACGGCUU